UGGCCAGGGAGCGCAGCCUGCCCGCAGGCCGCGCGACUGAAAGUUCCAAGUCCACAAAAGUCCCACGCGCGGCCCACCGCGUUCUGGACUUUUGGGGGUGAUGUAGGGGGAGCAGGUGAGGGGUCGCGCACGUCCGAACCGGCCCCGCAUCACCGGGCGGCGGGCCCCGCGCGCUUCCGGCACACGCACCCACCCUCCGCGGGUUAUCGGGCGCGCGCCUCCGCCCCCGCGCGCGCACCCCACCCGUAGCGGCGCACGCGCGCCCUCGCCCACUCUCGCGCGUGUCCUCCGUCGCGAGCGGCCGCCGGGAUGUGCUCCAGGCCCGUCGCUGCCGAGCUCGCGCCUGUGCCCGGAGCCCCAGCAUGUCUUCUUUCAUUUCCUAAAUUUAUUAUUUUUGUCUUCGCAAGUGGCCCUGUCUGGUACGAAGCUUUGGCACAGAUGGCCUCCCGGCGCUUCCCCCAGGGUCGUGUGCUGGAAGGGAACUGCUAGCUCGCAGACAGCCCCGGGCGUCCGCAGGGCUGCGAUCUCCCCGCGUGGCUGGGAGCGGGGCUCUGACUAGUGGGGACCCCGGCCCCCACCCCGGGUGGACCCCGGCCCUGCGCCACUCGCCCGGCUCUCCGCGAGUUGCUUUUCCGUUCUAGAACCUUCCCUCUUCUCAGCCGGUGUUCUCCCGCGCGCCUCUAAUUGUGUAAGUUUCACGAAGCAACAGCUUUGGGCUCCAGGUAAAGCGCAGAAAAAUCAUGCAGAGGAAGGAAGCGCACAGGUUGGAAUCGUCUCCAAAGAGAUCUCGCCACCGCUUUUGCCACCCCCUCCCAACCAGAUUCCUGAAGAUUGGUUUUGUUUUGCUACUCGGUGGCAGGAGUAUUCACUUAGUCUCCACACGUUACUUUCGGGAAGUCGGUGUUCAUCAGCUGUCUUCGUGUAUCAUUUCAACAAGAGUGAUGAAUGGUCUUCAAGAUGCCUGGUUGGACGGCCUCUGGUGGAGCUGGGCUUCGGGAGGACACUGGGCUCCCGUAGGUCAUGUUCCUCGUAUGCAGUCACACGAGGGCACAGCUGGGCCUCCAGCCUGCACUUCGGUCUGCAUCUGGACAGCACCGGCCGGCACCCUGCCUUCCCGCACUCAGGAGCCUAAACACGAAGCACCCUGUUGGUGUGUUUCCUGUGGCGCCCACAGCCCAUGCCCCAUGGGCAACACGCAUGUCUUGGUGGAAAGUGGGCGCCUGCUCCCGCAUCACCUUCCUCUGGGCGUGCAUCCUCACACCCCAAUGCUGAGGCUUCCGACCCGGGCAGGUGUGUGUUCGUUCUCCAGAUAA
rnacentral:lncRNA from 1 species